GACGAACGCUGGCGGCGCGCCUAACACAUGCAAGUCGAGCGAGAACCCGAGGAGGGGUAACCCUUCUCGGGGGAGAGCGGCGAACGGGUGAGUAACACGUGGGCAACCUGCCCCAGACUCUGGGAUAACUCCGGGAAACCGGGGCUAAUACCGGAUACUCUCGGCGGACCGCAUGAUCUGUCGAGGAAAGCCUUCACGGUCUGGGAUGGGCCCGGGGCCUAUCAGCUUGUUGGCGGGGUAACAGCCGACCAAGGCGACGACGGGUAGCUGGUCUGAGAGGACGGCCCGCCACACUGGGCCUGAGACACGGCUCAGCCUCCUGCGGGAGGCAGCAGUGGGGAAUCUUGCGCAAUGGGCGAAAGCCUGACGCAGCGACGCCGCGUGGGGGAUGACGGCCCUCGGGUUGUAAACCCCUUUCGGCAGGGACGAAGCGAAAGUGACGGUACCUGCAGAAGAAGCUCCGGCUAACUACGUGCCAGCAGCCGCCGCAGUAA
rnacentral:rRNA from 1 species